ensembl:lncRNA
AUGAUCUUUCUUUUGAUCUCUCUCUGUCUCUCUUUCUCCUUCUAUUGUACUUCCUCUUCCAUCUCUUUUUGCUUCUGUUUACACAUUUCUUCAUCAUUCUCUCUUUUGAUCUCUCUCUGUCUCUCUUCUUCUCUUUCUUCCACUUCCAUCUCUAUUUGCUUCUGUUUAAAUAGUUGUUCUUCAUUCUCUCUUUCAAUCUCUUUCUGUCUCACUUCUCUUUCCAUGUUUUUCUGUCUCUUCUCCAUUCUCUUUCUUUUGAUCUCUCUCUGUCUCUCUUUCUCCCUCUCUCGUUCUUCCUCUUCCAUCUCUAUUUGCUUCUGUUUACAUCUUUCUUCUUCGUGCUCUCUUUCAAUCUCUUUCUGUCUCUCUUCUUUUCUUUCGAUAUGUUUUUGUCUCUUUUCCAUUAUCUUUCUUUUGAUCUCUCUCUGUCUCUUCUCCCUCUCUCGUUCUUCCUCUUCCAUCUCUAUUUGCUUCUGUUUACAUCUUUCUUCUUCGUGCUCUCUUUCAAUCUCUCUCUGUCUCUCUUCUUCUCUUUCUUUCUCUUCCAUCUCUAUUUUCUUCUGUUUACAUCUUUCUUCUUCGUGCUCUCUUUCAAUCUCUUUCUGUCUCUCUUCUUCUCUUUCGAUAUGUUUUUGUCUCUUUUCCAUUCUCUUCCUUUUGAUCUCUCUCUGUCUCUCUUUCUCCCUCUCUCUUUCUUCCUCUUCCAUCUCUAUUUGCUUCUGUUUACAUCUUUCUUCUUCAAUCUCUCUUUCAAUCUCUCUCUGUCUCUCUUCUUCUCUUUCCAUAAUUUUCUGUCUCUUCUCCAUUCUCUUCCUUUUGAUCUCUCUCUGUCUCUCUUUCUCCCUUUCUCGUUCUUCCUCUUCCAUCUCUAUUUGCUUCUGUUUACAUCUUUCUUCUUCAAUCUCUCUUUCAAUCUCUCUCUGUCUCUCUUCUUCUCUUUCCAUAAUUUUCUGUCUCUUCUCCAUUCUCUUCCUUUUGAUCUGUCUCUGUCUCUCUUUCUCCCUCUCUCUUUCUUCCUCUUCCAUCUCUAUGUGCUUCUGUUUGCGUCUCUCCUCUUCUUCUUCUCUCUCCAUCUCCUUCUUCUUCUCAUCUUCUUCUUGUCUCUGUUUUGGUAUUUUCUCCAUUCUCUUUCUUUCUACCUCUUUCUGUUUGUUGUGCUCACCAUCCAUCUUCUCCUCCAUGUCCAUUUGGUUCUGUUUCCAUUUAUAUUUGUCUGUUUCCAUAUUUUCUAAUUCUAUCUGCUGUUCCUUGAUUUUCUUGAAGACUUCCUCCAAUUCAGACGUCUUUUUGUCAUUGAUGAGGGCUGUCUCCAUCUCCAUCUCUCUCUCCACUCUAUUUUUCAACUCCUCUUCACUUCGUCUCCAAUCAUUUUCUCUCUCUCUGUCUCUAUCAAAUGUUCUCUCUGGUUCAGUCUCGUCUUUCAAUCUAAUCUCUUCUUUCAUUCUCACAACCUCUCUGUCUAACACUAGUACAUUUUGGUUAACCUGUUUCACUCUCUCAUUCUGUCUUCUAAACGCUUCUUUCGCUCUUUCAAAUUUGAUUUUGUAUUGA